GGGGGACCGACGAACGGCCUCGCGCGUAGUUGGAUGACGCCGACGUCGUAUAGCUAGUGGAGGGUAAGGCCCACCAAGGCGACGAUCCGUAGCUGGUCUGAGAGGAUGAUCAGCCACACUGGAACUGAGACACGGUCCAGACUCCUACGGGAGGCAGCAGUGGGGAAUAUUGGACAAUGGGCGCAAGCCUGAUCCAGCAAUGCCGCGUGUGUGAAGAAGGCCUUCGGGUUGUAAAGCACUUUUAUCAGGAACGAAAAGCGUUGGAUUAAUACUCUGACGUGCUGACGGUACCUGAGGAAUAAGCACCGGCUAACUUCGUG
rnacentral:rRNA from 1 species